AUUGAACGCUGGCGGCAGGCUUAACACAUGCAAGUCGAGCGAGCGGCGGACGGGUGAGUAAGGUCUGGGAAACUGCCUGAUGGAGGGGGAUAACUACUGGAAACGGUAGCUAAUACCGCAUACCACCUGAAGUGCCCGGAUGGGAUUAGCUAGUCGGUGGGGUAAUGGCUCACCUAGGCGACGAUCCCUAGCUGGUCUGAGAGGAUGCCCAGCCACACUGGAACUGAGACACGGUCCCGACUCCUACGGGAGGCAGCAGUGGGGAAUAGUGCACAAUGGGCGCAAGCCUGGUGCAGCCAUGCCGCGUGUGUGAAGAAGGCCUUAGGGUUGUAAAGCACUUUCAGCGAGGAGGCGUUACUCGCAGAAGAAGCACCGGCUAACUACGUGCCAGCAGCCGCGGUAAUAC
rnacentral:rRNA from 1 species